CAAAGGUGGGGCGAAGGUAGAAGUCUUCUGGUCAUAAUCGGAUGUGCUUUUGAGGGGACUUCUGGGACCCCAGCCCCUUUCUCUCUCUCUCACUCUGACCACAGGCUGAACAGGUUUCCUCCGCCGUGACUUCCCAUCGUGUGUUAUGCCUUUUAUGGGCAUGGAAGCAAAGGGCAUACUGACCGUGGUCCGAAGACUAUUGGUGUUAUUGUAUGUGUCACGGAACAAAUGAGUUUAAUACACACGCAACUCACUUACCAUAGGUUACCAUUUACUAUAAAGGGAUGCCAAGACAGGAGCUUGCAGCAGAAAUAGAAGUGGAGACCGUAGAGGACACUGCUUACUGGCUUGCUCAGCUUCUGUUCUCAGUAUACAACCCGGAGUCGCUUGUCUGCUGCCAGAAAAUGCUCUACAGACACGUAUGAAGGCCGAUAUGAAGGAGAUAAUUCUUUCAAUUGACAGUCCCUCUUCCCAGCCUGGCUAUAUUCUGUUAAGCCACUGGCCGAAAUCAUCUUCUUCAUUAACCAAUGGCAAUAAAACAUAUUAACAGCAUACAGAGGGAAAUCCUACAUCAGGAAGGUAAGUGUACUUUUAUUUCUGUUCUCUCUCCCCUCCUCCAUAGUCAUCAGGAUGGUAUCCAAUCCUGAUCAUUCCCCAAAGACCCCACUUGCAAAUAUAUAAUAAAUAUUCAUUCUUGGUGUGGGAUAAUUGUCUGUAUUCUCUCAAUCAUAUUUUAAAUAAAUGCUGAUUGGCCAGGCAGGAAGUAUAGGUGGGUCAACCAGACAGAAAGUAGAGGCAGUGAGAUGAAAACAGGAGAAUUCUAGAAAGGAGGAAGCCCAUUCCCCAGUCCUGCCCAGACCAUGGAAGAAGCAACCUGGUUGAGAAAGGUACCGAGCCAUACGGCUAACAGAGAUAAGAAUAAUGGAUUAAUAUAGGUGAUAAGAGCUAAUAAGUCUGAGCUAAUGGGCCAAUCAGUUUAUAAUCUUAUGGAGACCUCUGUGUCAUUUUCUCUGGGACUAAAUGGCUGGGGGACUGGGUGGGACAGAAACCCCAACAAGCAGCCUGGCCCUCAAGUUACAGAAUGGCACCCAUGUGGAUAACUGAAUUCACAGAAAGCCUGAGAAAGCUUGGGAAAGAAUAGAGUAAAGCAUGUUUUCUUGGUAACAGCAAUUUCUCGGGUCUGCUCUGCUUGCUAGAGGCAAGCAAGCACUCUCAUCUAAGAGAGGCUUCCUGACUCAGCUUUAGCUGCAAAACCCCUGCAGCUCUUUAAGAGGUCCCGCCACGAAACACUUAAUUGGUGUUGAUGAAAAGCUGACUACAUGCUUUUCAGUUUUCAGCCGUAGCAGGAAAAAAGCUGCGCCAUUUUAAAAUGCCGGCUUUCUGGGCCCUUCUGCCAGGGCAAACUCUGACUCUUUCAGGCAGGCUACGGAGUAUUUGAGUGUGGUUUCUGAGUGCACUGCUGCAGCUUGAUGGCUGGCAGGGACCUUGAAUGCCAUAGAGUUGCAGUAAUAAACAUGGCUACAGCUGGUACUUCCACCACGAGGCUGGAAAGCUAAGUAAUGGGCUGGAUUCAGCUGUCAAAGCCAUGGCUUUAAUCCUUUCCAUAAAGACUCAUGUGGUCAGAAAAAGAGAGCUAUACAGUAAAGAGAGAUUCAGAAAUGACGAAAGCCUCUAAAUGGUUUACAGUGUCUUAAAAAUAUAUGCAGGCUAAAGGUUAAAGUCCUUAAAAUUAAAAAAGAAAGAAAGAGAGUAGUAGGGUGUGGUAGUACACAUCUUUAAUCCCAAUGUCUGGGAGGUUGAGGCAGACAGACCUCUGUGAAUUCAAGGUGUGGUGGCAGACACCUUUAAUUCCAGCACUUGGGCAGCAGAGGCAAGUGGCUCUCUGUGAGUUCAAGGACAGCCUGAUUUACAGAGUUAUUCCAGGACAAAGAUAUACAGAGAACCUGUCUCAAAAAGUAAAAAUAAUAAAAGAAAUAGAGGUUAAAGUAAAGCCACAUAAAGAUGAAAAAAAUACACAGAGAAUCUUGAUACUGUAUAUUAUUAUGCUCUCUUUGAAUUGUUUAAAUGCUGAGGAAGGAGCAACAGCUGUUAAAAGAUAUUUGCUUAUAAAUGCUGCUGAACUAAUUCAAGAUAGAUAUUUUGAAAAAACCUUGACUUCAAAAUUGAAGUCAAAAGGUAUGUUACUUUGGAGAAGAGAUUUUGCUUUUGUUUUCACAGGAAAUGAAAGACUGUGGAUUCAUUCUGAAUUAAGAAAAAUCAGGUUCGAUCAAGGAAGACCACCUGAGAAGUCUCCGGUAGGAACAGAUGGCCCAGAUGACAGAGUUCUACAUCCAGAACAGGUUCAAGACUGCUGCCUGAGGUGAUCAAGACUCACUGGAUACUCCAGUCAGGACUUGAUAAUAAUUCUAAAUUUUCUUUGGAUCCCCAUAAGAUUAUCAGCGCCCCCAACCAGCUAGAAGUAGCCUGGAAUACUAUGCCCACAUUCCCAAAAAUUGGACUAUGAAUAUUCUCCUUUGUUUGAAAAAAAAGAGGGGGAAGUGGUGCGGGAGAAUUGUCUGUAUUCUGUCAAUCAUAUUUUAAAUAAACACUGAUUGGCCAGACAGGAAGUAUAGGCAGAUCAACCAGACAGGAAGUAGAGGCAGGGUGAUGAAAACAGGAGAAUUCUAGGAAGGAGGAAGUCCAUUUCCCAGUCCUGCCCAGACCCCAGAAGAAGCUGAGAAAGGUACCGAGCCAUGUGGCUAACAGAGAUAAGAAUAAUGGGUUAAUAUAAGUGAUAAGAGCUAAUAAGAAGUCUGAGCUAAUGGACUAAUCAGUUUAUAAUCUUAUGGAGACCUCUGUGUGAUUUUCUUUGGGACUUGCUGGCUGUGGGAACCGGACUGAACAGAAAUCCCCACAGCUGGCCCUCUUGUUACACAUACUGAUGCCUCAGAAUAGGGAUUAAAUUACAACACAUAAAACCUUGGGGGUACACUCAUACCACAACAGGAAGCUUCCAAAAUCUCUCAAACCCAUUCUUGUAUCUAUGGUAGAUGAUUGUUCUAAAUACAGUUAUAUUACAUCUCUCUCUAAACCCUGCACUGAUUUCCUGAUACCUGGAAGGCCUGUGUCCUUCAUAUAAUUCACAUGGGUUUCUGUGGCCUGGCUUGUGCAUCUUUCUGCCCAGUCUGCAUUGGCUAAUUCCUGCCUGUUCCUUAAACAUUAGCCACAAAAGAGAGCUUGAACUUCCUUUGAGCUUCAUUCCUUCAUCUAUUUAUUUAUUGCCUUAACACUGUGCUCCCUAUCCAGACCAUCUUUGUACUUUUAACCACUUUUUACCACUUUUAACCGGCCAAUUCCUUCUCUCCUUUAAGUCUAGGUCCAAGAAUCACUUCUUUUUGGAAAUCUUUUUUUAGAAAGAGCUACACUCUCAAACUCUGGACAGAGUUGGCCUUACUGGCCUUAUGUGUCACAGUUCAUUUCAUGGAAGAUGAUGUCACAGUGUACUUGGCUGUGUAUGAGAUUGUGUGUUGUGCAAUAUUAUUUUUGCCAUGUAAAAAUGUGUUACAUUUGUUUAUGCUGUGGAAUAUUAAUUGUGUAAAGAUGUGUUACAUUUAUUUCUCCUGCUUUUGUUAAGGAUGUAAAGAUGUGUUACUUUUGUUUGUGCUGCGUCUGUUUAAUUAUGUAAAGAUGUAUUUGUUUCACCUUGCCUGCCUAAGGCACCUGAUUGGUGGAAUAAAAAGAUGACUGGCCAACAGCUAGGCAGGAGAGGGAUGGGUGGGGCUUCCAGACAGAGAAUAAGUAUGAGGAGAAAGUUAGGUUUGAGGAGAACGAGAGAGGAGAACAAGAGAAAAUGAGAGGAGAGAAUGAGAGGGAGAGGGACAUGCCUGGGGCAAGGAGCUGGGCAGUCACCAAUCAGCAAGACGUGAGAAGCAGUGGAAGUAAGAUGUAUGGAAGGAAAGAAAACUAAAACCUCCUGAGGCAAAAGGUAGAUAAAGAGUAACAGGUUAAUUUAAAGAGUUAGCCAGAAACAAGUCUGAAAGCAUUCAAAACCAGUAAGUCUUCAUGUCAUGAUUUGGGAGCUGGUUGGUGGCCCUAAAAACAAACAAACAAACAAACAAACAAACAAAAGCCUGGUGCAAUUGUGAGUUCUCUGAAGCUUGAGAUAUGUGAUAUUUUUCUAUACUCCUGUGUCUACUAGUGGCAUGAAGUACCAUAAUUUAAACCUAUACGUUGAACAAAUGAACACGGCUUCAUUAAUGAAAAACCAUUUUGCAUCUGCAAUGACUUGUCCAAUUUACAAAGAGUCAUCAGAGGAGGAAUCUUAUCUACAAGUUUCAUUCUGAGCAACAUUAGGCCUAGUGAUAUUUGUUAGAUUUAGGGGGUGGGAGGUGCCCUGAAUCAACGGAGCCCUCAAAGAAGACACUGGAAGUGUUUGUGGGGAGUUGGUAUCUAGGGGUAUAGAGGGUUCUUUACAAUGCCAACAGACUUUUACUCCAUGUGCACAAAAUUUAUUUCAGUUAAAUCUUAUCUUUUCAAUAGGAAGGUGUCUUUGCUGAAUAAAAAUAUUUCUUUCUGUAUCUUGCCCGUAUAACUUAAAAAAUACGGAACAUAGGAAGGAAAGCCAGAUUUAAAGCUUUCUUCUUCUUUUUCUUUCUUAUACUGGUUUUCUUUCCAAGGUAUUCAGAAAGACGGCACUCCAUCUAAAGCAAAAAGCUAAGCUGUAUUCUUCUGAAGCUCAGUAUAGAG